rnacentral:rRNA from 1 species
ACGGGUGAGGAAUACAUCGGAAUCUGCCUAUUUGUGGGGGAUAACGUAGGGAAACUUACGCUAAUACCGCAUACGACCUACGGGUGAAAGCGGAGGACCUUCGGGCUUCGCGCAGAUAGAUGAGCCGAUGUCGGAUUAGCUAGUUGGCGGGGUAAAGGCCCACCAAGGCGACGAUCCGUAGCUGGUCUGAGAGGAUGAUCAGCCACACUGGAACUGAGACACGGUCCAGACUCCUACGGGAGGCAGCAGUGGGGAAUAUUGGACAAUGGGCGCAAGCCUGAUCCAGCCAUGCCGCGUGGGUGAAGAAGGCCUUCGGGUUGUAAAGCCCUUUUGUUGGGAAAGAAAAGCAGUCGGUUAAUACCCGGCUGUCAUGACGGUACCCAAAGAAUAAGCACCGGCUAACUUCGUGCCAGCAGCCGCGGUAAUACGAAGGGUGCAAGCGUUACUCGGAAUUACUGGGCGUAAAGCGUGCGUAGGUGGUGGUUUAAGUCAGAUGUGAAAGCCCCGGGCUCAACCUGGGAACUGCAUUUGAUACUGGAUCACUAGAGUGCGGUAGAGGAUAGCGGAAUUCCCGGUGU